AUUGAACGCUGGCGGCAGGCCUAACACAUGCAAGUCGAGCGGAUGAGGGAAGCUUGCUUCCCGAUUUAGCGGCGGACGGGUUAGUAAUGCCUAGGAAUCUGCCUAUUAGUUGGGGAUAACGUUCCGAAAGGAACGAUAAUACCGCAUACGUCCUACGGGAGAAAGCGGGGGAUCUUCGGACCUCACGCUAACAGAUGCGCCUAGGUCGGAUUAGCUAGUAGGUGAGGUAAUGGCACACCUAGGCGACAAUCCGUAACUGGUCUGAGAGGAUGAUCGGUCAGAGUGGAACUGAGACACGAUCCAGGCUCCUACGGGAGGCAGCAGUGGUGAAUAUUGGACAAUGGGCGAAAGCCUAAUCCAGCCAUGCCGCGUGUGUGAAGAAGGUCUUCGGAUUGUAAAGCACUUUAAGUUGGGAGGAAGGGUAUUCACCUAAUACGUGGGUACUUUGACGUUACCAGCAGAAUAAGCACCGGCUAACUCUGUGCCAGCCGCCGCUGUAAGAC
rnacentral:rRNA from 1 species